rnacentral:lncRNA from 1 species
ACCAGAGCCUGGGAGCUGCCCCCGCCCCCGAGCCGCGAGCCCCGCGCCGGGCCGGGGAGUCCCCGGCGCCACACGCCCCCACCACCCCCAUCUUAGCGCCCCCCACCCUCUAUGGAGACAUUUCAACCAGGGAGAAGGGAAGUCCUGCCCUUGCCCCUCGCCCCCGCCCUGCUCCUCCAACAGGGGAGACUUCUGUCCAAACCUUGGAAAGAAACGAGAUGCCAGGCCUAGCGCCUUCGGGGAUCCUCUCUGGACAAGGCCACAGGGUGAAAACACCAGCACAGUCUGGACCUGGGCGGACUUUUUGGAAAAGCUUCUGGAUGCCACGGACUCCACGACCAACCAACUAGGUUGCUGCUGCUUGCAAACAUCGCCUCCAUUGAAGGAUUCCUGCAGCCACCAGCUCUGGAACUUUCUGGAACCAAACAUUUCCCCAGACUGCCUACAAGGACCAAUUGGCCUCUGGAUCACUUCCUGGAGGCGUUUGACCGGGACCUGGGAGGGCAGCUGAGAAGUGCCUGACCAUUCUCAAGGAGCUGCGUGGAUUCCAGACAUCUCUGGGCUGGUCUCUGGACCGGGAUGGGGGACCCAGAGGUGGAGCCGAACACACAAGCAGCACUUGAGGGCUCCGAGGGUGGCAAGGAGAGAAGUUCCUGCUCUGGUACAGCCCUGGGACCUUGAAAGACUGAAGCUAAGAAGUGCUGGAGACAGCAGUUGCUUUAGCCACAGGCUGUGUAGACCACCUGAGGAUGACCUGGGGGUCUGUUUUGUGCACCUUGGAACCCAUCGGAUCCCUCCAAUGACACAUUUGUCCAGAGCAAGACAAGAUCACACUUUGACAGCCCUCUGUCAAGAUCCUUGCUCCAAAUCUCCAGACUAGCAGCCAGGAGUCUCCAUGCUGUUCUGAAGAAGCAGAUUCCUCACCCACCCUUCAACUCCUUCCCAGGAGGUAAUCCUCCUCCAAAUCUCUGGAAAAGAUACACCUCCUCUUCUCUGAUAAAGGCUGGGGGGUGAUGCCCCUCCCCCAGUUUCCCAAUAAAGCUAUGCAAGACAG